CGAGCAGGGGUUGGGGUGGGGGGCCGUUCAAGAGAGGGCUUCUUCGUGUCACCAUGGCUGUCUUGGAACUCACUCUGCAGACCAGGCUGUCCUCGAACUCAGAGAUCUGCCUGCCUCCGCUUCCCGAGGGCUAGGAUUAAAAGCCCACAUGUCUAUUGCCUGGCAGGUUUACUUACCAAAGGUUCUUUUUUUUUUUUCCCCGGAGCUGGGGACCGAACCCAGGGCCUUGCGCUUCCUAGGCAAGCGCUCUACCACUGAGUGUGCAUGUGUGCCACGUCAUGUGCGUCUGAUGCCUGCAGAUCCAGGAGAGAAUGUCAGACGCCGGGAAUGGGAGUUACGGACGGCUUUGAGCCUCCGCGCGUGGCCUGGAAACCAUCUCUGCUCCUCUGUAGUCGGCACAAGAAC
rnacentral:lncRNA from 1 species